rnacentral:rRNA from 1 species
AGAAGCGAUACCGCGAGGAGGAGCAAAUCUGAAAAAAGACGUCCCUAGUUCGGAUUGUAGGCUGAAACUCGCCUACAUGAAGCUGGAAUUGCUAGUAAUCACAGGUCAGCAUACUGUGGUGAAUACGUUCUCGGGCCUUGUACACACCGCCCGUCACACCAUGGGAGUCGGUAACACCCGAAGUCUGUAGCCUGACGCAAGAGGGCGCAGCCGAAGGUGGGAUUGAUGACUGGGGUGAAGUCGUAACAAGGUACC